rnacentral:rRNA from 1 species
GAACGCUAGCGGCAGGCCUAAUACAUGCAAGUCGAACGGGAUCCAAUUUUUAGCUUGCUAAAGAUUGGUGAGAGUGGCGCACGGGUGCGUAACGCGUGAGCAACCUACCCAUAUCAGGGGGAUAGCCCGAAGAAAUUCGGAUUAACACCGCAUAAGACUACGAGAUGGCAUCAUCAAGUAGUUAAAUAUUUAUAGGAUAUGGAUGGGCUCGCGUGACAUUAGCUAGUUGGUGAGGUAACGGCUCACCAAGGCGACGAUGUCUAGGGGCUCUGAGAGGAGAAUCCCCCACACUGGUACUGAGACACGGACCAGACUCCUACGGGAGGCAGCAGUAAGGAAUAUUGGUCAAUGGACGGAAGUCUGAACCAGCCAUGCCGCGUGCAGGAUGACUGCCCUAUGGGUUGUAAACUGCUUUUGUCGAGGAAUAAACCUAUCUACGUGUAGAUAGCUGAAUGUACUCGAAGAAUAAGGAUCGGCUAACUCCGUGCCAGCAGCCGCGGUAAUACGGAGGAUCCGAGCGUUAUCCGGAUUUAUUGGGUUAAAGGGUGCGUAGGCGGCACUUUAAGUCAGGGGUGAAAGACGGCAGCUUAACUGUCGCAGUGCCUUUGAUACUGAAGUGCUUGAAUGCGGUUGAAGACGGCGGAAUGAGACAAGUAGCGGUGAAAUGCAUAGAUAUGUCUCAGAACACCGAUUGCGAAGGCAGCUGUCUAAGCCGUUAUUGACGCUGAUGCACGAAAGCGUGGGGAUCGAACAGGAUUAGAUACCCUGGUAGUCCACGCCCUAAACGAUGAUAACUCGAUGUUUGCGAUAUACCGUAAGCGUCCAAGCGAAAGCGUUAGAGUUAUCCACCUGGGGAGUACGCCCGCAAGGGG